rnacentral:rRNA from 1 species
AGACUUUGAUCCUGGCUCAGAUUGAACGCUGGCGGCAUGCUUUACACAUGCAAGUCGAACGGCAGCACGGGUGCUUGCACCUGGUGGCGAGUGGCGAACGGGUGAGUAAUGCAUCGGAACGUACCGUGUAAUGGGGGAUAACGUGGCGAAAGUCACGCUAAUACCGCAUACGCCCUGAGGGGGAAAGCGGGGGCUCGCAAGACCUCGCGUUAUACGCUCGGCCGAUGUCUGAUUAGCUUGUUGGUGGGGUAAAGGCUCACCAAGGCGACGAUCAGUAGCGGGUCUGAGGGGAUGAUCCGCCACACUGGGACUGAGACACGGCCCAGACUCCUACGGGAGGCAGCAGUGGGGAAUUUUGGACAAUGGGGGCAACCCUGAUCCAGCCAUGCCGCGUGAGUGAAGAAGGCCUUCGGGUUGUAAAGCUCUUUCAGCCGGAACGAAACGGUACGGGUUAACACCCUGUGCUACUGACGGCACCGGCAGAAGAAGCACCGGCUAACUACGUGCCAGCAGCCGCGGUAAUACGUAGGGUGCGAGCGUUAAUCGGAAUUACUGGGCGUAAAGCGUGCG